AGGGCACCACCAGGAGUGGAGCCUGCGGCUUAAUUUGACUCAACACGGGAAAACUCACCCGGCCCGGACACUGGAAGGAUUGACAGAUUGAGAGCUCUUUCUUGAUUCAGUGGGUGGUGGUGCAUGGCCGUUCUUAGUUGGUGGAGUGAUUUGUCUGGUUAAUUCCGAUAACGAACGAGACUCUAGCCUACUAAAUAGAUCGUCGGCUUACAAACGCCGGCGAGACUUCUUAGAGGGACAGGCGGUGAUUCAACCGCACGAAACAGAGCAAUAACAGGUCUGUGGUGCCCUUAGAUGUCCGGGGCCGCACGCGCGCUACACUGAAGUGAUCAGCGUGCUUUUUCAACCUACUCUGUCAAGAGUGGGGAACCCAAUGAACCUUCUUCGUGAUUGGGAUAGGGGAUUGUAAUUAUUCCCCUUGAACGAGGAAUUCCCAGUAAGCGCGAGUCAUAAGCUCGCGUUGAUUACGUCCCUGCCCUUUGUACACACCGCCCGUCGCUACUACCGAUUGAAUGUUUU
rnacentral:rRNA from 1 species